rnacentral:rRNA from 1 species
GAGUUUGAUCUUGGCUCAGAUUGAACGCUGGCGGCAUGCCUUACACAUGCAAGUCGAGCGGCAGCGCGGGGCGAACCCUCGGCGGCGAGCGGCGAACGGGUGAGUAAUGCAUCGGAACGUGUCCUCUUGUGGGGAGUAACCAGUCGAAAGACUGGCUAAUACCGCAUGAGAUCGAGAGAUGAAAGCAGGGGACCGCAAGGCCUUGCGCGAGAGGAGCGGCCGAUGCCGGAUUAGCUAGUUGGUGGGGUAAAAGACCUACCAAGGCGACGAUCCGUAGCUGGUCUGAGAGGACGACCAGCCACACUGGGACUGAGACACGGCCCAGACUCCUACGGGAGGCAGCAGUGGGG